GCCAAUGGGGCGCAAGCCUGAUGCAGCCAUGCCGCGUGUGUGAAGAAGGCCUUCGGGUUGUAAAGCACUUUCAGUCAGGAGGAAAGGGUNGUAGUUAAUACCUGCUAUCUGUGACGUUACUGACAGAAGAAGCACCGGCUAACUCCGUGCCAGCAGCCGCGGUAAUACGGAGGGUGCGAGCGUUAAUCGGAAUUACUGGGCGUAAAGCGUACGCAGGCGGUUUGUUAAGCGAGAUGUGAAAGCCCCGGGCUCAACCUGGGAACUGCAUUUCGAACUGGCAAACUAGAGUGUGAUAGAGGGUGGUAGAAUUUCAGGUGUAGCGGUGAAAUGCGUAGAGAUCUGAAGGAAUACCGAUGGCGAAGGCAGCCACCUGGGUCAACACUGACGCUCAUGUACGAAAGCGUGGGGAGCAAACAGGAUUAGAUACCCUGGUAGUCCACGCCCGUAAACGAUGUCUACUAGAAACUCGGAACCUC
rnacentral:rRNA from 1 species